rnacentral:rRNA from 1 species
AGAUUGCAGGCUGCAACUCGCCUGCAUGAAGUCGGAAUUGCUAGUAAUCGUAGGUCAGCAUACUACGGUGAAUACGUUCCCGGGCCUUGUACACACCGCCCGUCACACCAUGAGAGUCGAUAACACCCGAAGCCUGUAGUCUAACAGCAAUGAGGACGCAGUCGAAGGUGGGAUUGAUAAUUAGGGUGAAGUCGUAACAAGGUACC